GCCGUUGUCCCGACGCCCCGCCCCUCUGGCCGAUUCAUUGCACCCGUCCGCAUCCCGAGAGCCGCUAGGGGACGAUGAGCGGCUCCGAGCGCUGCGCACGCGCUCCUGAAAGAUGAAGGUUAAAACGGCGUUGGCUUUUCGGUUUGCGCAUGCGUCAGACAGAGGGCGGUCGGGGCGCGCGUUGAACUCAAGAGCAGCCAGCCGUGCGCAUGCGCGCGAGGGGAGGAGUCGGCGCCGUCCGGAGAGGAAGGAAGGAGGAGGACAUCGCGCGCCGCGUGGCUGCUGCGCGUGCGCAGGCUUCCCGUGGUUUGAUCGAGACCGACCCUCUGACAGCUCCUGAAGUAUCGAAAACAGCGGUGUCAGGGUUGAAAAGUGCCAGGGCUCCCAUCUGCCAUCAGAUGACUUUCUGCCUGACUGAGCUGCACCUGUGGUCUUUGAAGACUACCUUACGUAUUAGCGAUGAAGACAUCGGGGUACAUCAGUACUAUGACAAGAAAGAGCCAGGAUCACAGAUGAAGCAUGGUUAUUUAGAAGACAAGCAAAAGCUAGCAGAAUCUCGAGAUUACCCUUGGAUACUGAAAAACAAACGACCAGAAAAACUACGAGAUACACUCAAGGAGGUGGAGGACUUAAUGCAGAACAGUCAAUGUGUGCUGAGCAAAUGGAAGAACAAACGUAUCUGUCAGCUCCUCUUUCAUUCAGGUAUAUUGGUCUCCCUAAGCCUUUCUGGGCCACAGCUGGAGAAAGUGGUGAUUGACAGGACCCUGGUGGGGAAGCUCAUCUCCGACACCAUCAGCGAUGGUGUUCUUUCAGACAAUUUCAUCAUCUUGUCAUUUGAGGACUACAACCAACUCUGCUUCAUUCAGUUUACAAAGAGGAUGGAUUCUCCUGAUGUGAACAGAAGAAGACAUGAGAAACUCUCUUGUUUGGAUUUUAAGAUUUCUUACAUUGAUAUACCUGGACCAGAAGGUAGGAGGAUGAAACGUCACCUGGCAAUAAACUGUAUGCAAGAUAUGGCCAUUUGCUGGUGGUCAGCAGCUAGUGAUGGAGCAUGGCCUUGGUCUCCUAUUUCCUGUGAAAGGGACAGAGCCAACCUCUUGCUGUUAGGCUGUGCUCAUGGCAAACUGGAGGUUCUGAGUUAUGUCCGUACAGAAUGGGAUCCACUUGAUGCUAGCUUCAGCACUAAGGAGCCUUACCAGGUUCACACAGUUGAGCACUCCAUCUCUGCCGAUAAAGAGCCCAUGGCUGACAGCUGCAUCUACAAUUAUGUUAGAAACAAAAUUCGGUGUGCAGCAGUCACCAGAAUACCACUACAAUCAAGGGCCAUCAGCUGUUGCAGAAAUACUACAGAAGACAAACUAGUACUGGGCUGCGAAGAUUCGUCAAUAAUUCUGUAUGAUGCCUACAACCAAGUGACUCUGUUAGCCCAAGCAAAACUAUUGCCUGCAUUAAUAACUUAUCACCCUUCUGGGGCCAUAUUCCUGGUUGGCAGCUCUCAAGGGGAGCUGCAGAUUUUUGACACGGCACUGUCCCCAGUUAAAAUUCAGCUCUUGGCAGACAAUUAUUCACCCAAGGCAACUCUGCAAUUCAGCAAACACUUUGACGUGUCUAGCAGCCUCAUCCAGAUUCAGUGGGCUGCUGCUCAAGCUGCAUCUCCCAGCACCGAUGGCAUAGAUGUUCAUGAUCUUUUGUUCAUUAGGUUUGACAAAGGACCCUUAGGAGUACUUCACUUCAAACUUGGUGUGAUAACAAGAGGACAGCUGGGCCUUGUGGAAAUCAUCCACCAAUAUAUUCGCUAUGAUGAGAUACAUGAGGCAAUUAACGUCCUGAACACCAUGAACUGGAACACGAUGGGCCAUCAGUGCUACGUCUGCUUGAGUGCCAUUGUCAAUCACCUACUUAAACAAAAGCUUACACCAAACAGAGAAGCACAGCUUGAGGCGAGCCUUGGAACCUUUUAUGCUCCAACAAGACCCCUCUUGGAUGCAACCAUAGUGGAGUACAGGGACCCCAUCAGCAGAUAUGCAAGAAGGUUCUUCCACCACCUGCUCAGGUAUCAGAGAUUUGAAAAAGCAUUUCUACUAGCUGUUGACAUAGGUGCUCGGGACCUCUUUAUGGACAUCCAUUACCUUGCUCUAGAUAAGGGUGAAUUGGCACUAGCUGAAGUGGCAAAGAAAAAGGCUAAUGACAUUGAUGCAGAAUCAAUAACCACUGGAAUUGCAACAUAUCAAGAAGUAACUUGCAAAAGUGAAAACAAUUCACAGUGAGAUUCCUUGAGUGAGGAUGCUAAAUGACAAAGAAUGAUUCAGCUUAAAAGAUCUUGAAGAGAUGCCCAUGGCAUGGAAUUGCAGUAAAGAGAAGUGAGCUGAAGAAGUGGAGAUCAGAUACUGCAUAGUCAACACCAGGGGAGAGCUGUAGAUAUGAGUUUGGAAGGAACAAUGCUUGUCAAUAGGAGACUCUUCGCACAUCUGCUCUCUGAUCAAACAAAUAAACAGAAACACUGGAGGACAAUUUAUUUAUUACAUCCUCUUUCACUACACCCCCUGCCGCACUGCAGGCUGGGGAUGCCAUGGAAUUGCUGCUGGCAAAGUUGAAGGUUGGAACUGUUUUCCUCCAAAGGCUGCUCAGGGGACUGCUUGAAAGUUUAUCUCCAGAAAACUCCCUUAUCAAAACCAAAGGUGUUUGAUGACCUGAUCUUAGCUCUUGUUGAAUGCUUUCAGCCUAUCAAAACCAAAUGCCCCGAUAAAAGCCUGUUUGUUGGUGUUCUGCUUUGGAGAAAGCCAUGGGGAAGAGCUCAGCUGGGUCCAAGAGAAAGCUUUGCACCCAUUGCUGCUUUCCACCUUGCCCCAGAGAAGAAAUAAUGUGGGUUGUUAGAGAAAACACAUUGAUGGAAAACUGAUGGAAAAUGCUUAAUACCAUGCAAUGAGUACAUCAGAAUGAGUGGCUUUUGUCCUCAACAUACCUCAUCAAAUGCAUUUCAUUUCAGCUAUUUGAAAUACAGUUUCUUUAAAUACUCUUCCUGUGGGUUAGUUGGCACUGAAACUUCUUAAAAUCUCAGUGCUGCGAGACUGCUGCAGCUCCCAAACUCAUGCAUGAAUGGUAUCUUUGUGCUAGAUUUCAAACUGUAAAGUUUACUCUUAAAAACAGAUAAUGAGGCAACGUUGGUUAUCUCUGCAUUGUUGAUAUUAUGAAAUGGCAAAAUAUUAUAAUAAGAUGAAAAGAUAGUAUUAAUAACAGCUUAAGCAUGUAUGAUGAUCAUUAUAAUUACUUAUUUACCAUGGGUACAUGGUAAGUGUCCCACCUUAUCAUCUUUAUGAUUAAGCAAAGAGCUUGAUUUCUGCCUCCUACCCUCCUAGCCCAGGCCUGGCUGCAAACCAUGGCAUUUGGGCUCCUGGUUCUCAUGUCCUCACCACAGCCUCCCUCCUCCUGCCCAUAUUAAUCUGCUACCUGAUACUUUUGCUGGAUGUAACCUACCUUCCUCUGCUACAUCAUGCUGUGGUUAUCUGCGUACCUCAGCUGAAUUUGGGCAUUGGCCUUGCUAAUAUUCUUACUGCUGAAAAUGGCCCCCCUGAAGAUGCUCCUAUAUGCCUGAAGUGCACUGGGGAAGAGCAAAUUCUGGGGCCAUCCCAGAGCCCUUGCAGAAUAACUUUAUUUCACCUCCCAUCACUGCCUUGACACGAGCCUGUCCUAAGCUCACCCUCUGACUGCAACACACAGAAGGAGGGAUGUGGAACCCAGUCUGAACUUCUACUGAAUCAUCAUCUCAAUCUCCCUGCAAUAUUUCAUGACAUGACUACCUAAACAAACUUUUAAUAACCAAAUGGAAGAUGAUUGGUACAAUUGCUACUUAUAUAUGUGUGUAUUUACUACAUAGGGUGCGUGAGGCACUUGCUGGGAGCCCUUGCUUUUUGCCUGCAGGUGGGGAGACAUUAAGCUCACAUGGAGCGAGCCCAUGUUCAUGCAGUUGGCUGUGCUGAAAGACUGCGCUGCUGCUGCCUUUUAGGCAUGGCUGGGAAGAAUUGGGCCCACAGCACUCUCUUUUGAACACAGGAAUAAAAUACUAAUGAGAAUUUUAAUAGGAAGACACGCCUGGAAAACUCCUGAUAUCUUCCAAAAUUCCUGAAGGAAAUAUGAGCUUCAGUCGGUGCCUUAUUUUCGCAUACUAUGAUCAACUACACUGCCCCAGCCUAUUCCUCUGCGUGUCUGAAAGCAGCGUUGCUCACUUACAAGACCAGGAACAGCCCAGCAGGUCAGUGACGGGCCGGUGGCAGUCCUCUCAGUCCAUCCCCAACCUCCUGGGUGACUUUGGCCAGCUCAUUUGAGCCCUUGGUGCUUUCAUUUCCCUCUGGGGAGCCCUCUGUGACGCACACCCCUCCUUCCCACAGCAUCCCGCACCGCGGCCCUGGCUUCUUCCCAUCACCUUUCCGGCAGUGCCCUCCCGGAGGUGGGAGCACAGCCAGGCCGAGUCCGUUUUCUAAGCUCACUUAUUUUCUGUGAUUUGGAGGAAUUUUUACAACGCGCCGCUGGGAAAAUCAGCCUUAAUACUCUUGUUGCUAUCUGCCGUUAGGUGUCAGUGUGACAACAACCAUGAUGCACAAAGGCUUUUCUAGGGGCGGGCAAGCCACUCUGUCCUCAACUUCUCUGUUCGGGAUCGGGGAAAACGCAACAUCCAACCAAGAGGAAGGGGAAGGGAGAGCAGAGCCAGCAACACCUUAUCUCAGGUUUUUCCACCGCCUGAUGGAAGCUAUUUACUAGCAGAUAAGUCUGUUUGCGUUUCAUUCCGUGCGUCUCGGGGCUCCCGGUGCUGUGGUUCUCAGAGAGGUGCGAUAUUUACCAAAGCACGGGAAGAGUUUCUGCACACACCGCCCCAACACGCCGUGCUGGGGCCAAAGGAACACUCGCCGCUAUUGGUAAUUUGCAGUCUGUAGGAGGUAAACAGCUCUGCCCAUGCACAAAGUGUUUCCGUAAGGUGAUGCCUGCUGAGGUUGGAUAAAAUACUGGGUUGGAAAAAUAGCGAGGAAUUCCGUUCAUUCAGAAGGAAAGGAUCGAAAAGCUUAAAAAAUAGUUUUAAAACGAUGUUUUUUUUUUUUCACUCAAAAUGAGCCAUUAUUUCAGUGGAUGGGUGGUAUGCAAAGUAAAGGAAGAGUAAAAAUGUGGUACACGUAAAGGGGUCUGUUUCCAAGUUUGGAAUGCUUCCCAAGAUGAGCUGACAAAGGUAGCAAACAAUUUUUGUUUAGAUGGGAGCUUUUAAACUCAGUACAGACAGGAAAUAAAGUUCAGUUUUGGCCAAAAAAAGAAAGAAAAAAAAGAAAAAUUGUCUGUGUCUGAAGAAAAUGAUUCUCGGAAAUAUUCUCCUGAUCCCUCUGGUGUUGAGAAUAUCCCAAGUGCUUGUAGGGAGACAUUUCCCCCCUUAUUUUUGAAGCCAGGAGUGUUCCCACUGUUGACUUUGAUGGGAUUUGGGUCAGGGCAGCACAGUGGCUAACUCACAUUGGCUCUGCCAGGGAUCAGAGAAUCUGUUGUGCAAGAAAACCCUUUGGGGACAGCUUUGCCUUCCUCUUGCCUCCUCAGAGGUAGAAGGGAUUGUGUGCAUUGCUUAACUUUGUUGUCAUGAUGAUGUUCUUCUCCCAUUCCUUAUGCUCCUCAUCUUGCCUAGAAAGCUGCCUCCAAUGCUCCAGUGAUUUGCGCCCUAGAGCAGGACAGAGGCAGCGGGGGUAGGACAGGCAGCAGGCAAGCGGGCAGCAAACACCUGUGGGAGAUGUGGGGUGUGGGCAAGGCUGAUGCUGGCAUAUAGGGGAAGGAAAGGAUUUCUCUGGUAAUGCAGGAAUGUGGAAAGAUUCUUUGCAAGGGCAAACUUUCCCUAUUGAAACUCAAUUGCUUUCUGUGGAUACAAAAUGCACUUUAAGUGAUGAGAGGAGCAACACUGUAUUCAACAGAUAUCAGAGAAUGCAGGCUGGGUUAAUUACCUCCUCUUAAAGAAAAUAUUUAUUUCUUUUUCUACAAAGGUGAGCAUCUGAGACAGAAUCUUAUCUCCAAACUCCUGUCGUGCCCUUAAAUGAGAAGAAGAGUGAGGGAGGGAAUGAAACAGGGCCGGGGGCAGACACCGGGAUCUUUCUCUUGGGGUUUUUCCUCUGUUGGCCUCACCACCCACCCAGCUCCCUGCCAGCAGCCUCUGUGCCGACCUGGCCACGGCAGUCUGUAAGGCCUUUGGGCACCCAAACCAGGUGUCAGCAAGCCCGUGCAGCGAGCAGGGCAGGUGAGCGACAGCCCCAAAAUGCCUAUCAGGGAGAACCUGCCCUGAUAUCUGCUUCAGUGCCUUCAUUAGCCACACCUUGCUGCUAAAUUGUCGAGUGUCAGUCAGGGUGCACCAGAGAUGGUUACAACAAGGCGUGCUCUAAUACCCCAACUGCUUUCAUGUCCCAGUGCCUUCGGGUGCUUUUAGAAAACGCAUCCAAGUUUCAUCUCAUGAGGUGGGAUUUAGCCAAGAGACACCGAACAGAGCACUGUAUAAGUGUCAUUAAGAGAGCUUAGUAGCAGGAUGUCAGAAUGUAUGUUGUGUGCGUGUGUAUGUGUCUGUAUGCAUGCACACAACUCACACAUACACACUUUUGGCACCAGAGAGGUUUAAAAGAACACACCAGCACCAAACAUGUGGCCAGUUUUGAAUUCAUCUCAUCAGCACGACUGGUUUUGUAGCGUCAUAGAAUCAUAGGGGUUGGAAGGGACCUCUGGAGAUCAUCGAGUCCAACCCCCACGUUUCCUAUGUGGAUAGGCACAUACACAAACCUGACAAAACUUGGCACUCAUCUUAUGGGAACUUACCCAGGAAAUUCAAGACUUUGUAUCGUAAUUCUUAAAGCACAACAACAACAACAGAAGUGGGAAGUCAAUGUUUUUAAAUGGACUGAAAAAAACCCAACAUGCAAGCAUUUUUAAUUUUGAUACAUGUUACGUGGUAAUCAGCUUGUUGGUAUCAGAAUAAGUUUACUCUACACAGCCUUCCAGCAUAAGCCACUUCUUUUCCAUGAGCCCCAAUGACUGUGCGUGAGCACAUUUGUCUGGCAGAAGCCAGCAAGCACUGCUGAUUUGUAAUUAUUGUUUUGUUUACAGAUGGUAUUCCCAUUUUUCUGUUAUUUGGAUUAGGGAACCAACCAGUCCCAACUUUUUCUUCAUUAAAAGCAAAAGAAAAAAUCUCCUUUUAAUAAGUGUAUGCUUCACACUUUCAAACUUCAAUAGCAUGGAAUGUUUCACUUGAUCAGAAAGCUGAUUUAAUUUGCUGCUAGGUUAAAUGUUAAAGGUUUCAGUCUUAUGACCAUGAAUUCUCAAAUUAAAUUCAGUGCAUUGCUUAAAUUUCUAGCUGCAGUGCAUUUAGGCUAAUUGCUUUGGUAAGUUGGAUGCUCAGUAACUACCACUCUUCUGAAUUUUCGUCUUUAGAGGAGAGCAAUGAAAUAAGCCUGAGGGGCCCAGGUGGGCUCGCCUGCUCUUUGGGAUUCACCUGUGGGGUCUUUGGAUAUCUCUUCCAGUCUGACCACAUCCUCAGACCAUGUCUGAUGAGGCUGUUCUACUGACAAGGGAGAGAAUUUAAACACCUGUAGGUUUGAGCUAUUUAAGCCCAAAUCAGUUUUGAAGCAACAAGAAAGGCUGAGCAAAAUGGUUCAGAUUUCAGUCAGUUGUCAGCUAAAUGUGUGCACUGGGCCUUCAAGUAUUUGGCCAGACACAUCUUGAUUGCUUGGCUUUUGUUUUCGCCCUUGGAAAGUCAGCUGGAUAAUAGCCCCUAGCCAAAGCCUAUUCUGCAAUGCUGUAAGUGGGCAGGGCCUGGGGGCCAGCGGGAGAGCUCACCCAAAAAAUACCGAGCUAUCUUGACAUAUUUCCUGAUUUUCUGCCUGCCAACUUAUUUGCACUCCUUCUUUACAACAUUAACCAUAAAAAUCAUUCGGUCUGAACUUUAUCACCACUGAUGCACUUCCCCUUGGGAGGAAGCCACAGGGUGAUGGAAGCAGCAAUGGAAACCUCUGCUAGCUGCACAUGGGCAAGCCCCGAGCACCUAGCCUGAGUACCUAGCUUUUUCCUCUUUGUUUACAGCAUUUUAAGGCUUUUAGUUCUCACGCAACAUAUAUGUCAUUAAAUAGCCGAUGCCUCUUUGCACACGUUGUUGUGAUGGCCUGUGGCAACCUGAAUUAAUUGUUUCUGUAGUUGGUGGUGGUUACUAGCAGUAAUUAUUAUAAUUUGCAUUUAUAAAAAUACCUUUCAUCUAAGGAUCUCAAAAUGCUUUUGCGCACAUUUAAUUAAGCUUCACAACAUCCUGUGAGGUAAGUGUAAAGAGCGUUGUUAUAUCCACUUUUACACCAGAUUCCCCAAGAAAACAAGGUCAGUCCCUACCGUGGUGGGUGUGUGGGUCACAUCACGCUGGCACUGGAUGAAACAGGAACUAGGGGUGCCGAUCUCAGUCACCGUGUGUAUCCCACAUCGCUGCAUUGGCCACUGUGCAUUCAGGCAGAGCAGCCAAAGCCCAGAUCUCUGGUCUGAGAGGGCCAGUUCCUUUCCUCGGAGACUUCAGCUGCAGAAAAGUCUUGGGAGGAAAAACCAAUCAGCAUAUAUUGCACAAGACAACCCGUGCUGCAAAGAUAUCUUCUUUCCCUCAUUUUCUACCAUGAAGUUUAAGCCUCUCUCUGCAAUCUGCACUCAGUGAGACAUUGCUGCUGCAGCUGAAGGCAAGAAACCAGCCUCAAGCAAUGUGAAGUGGCCCUUUACAAGACUCUUCCCUGUCUUAGCAGACGCUGCAUGCACUUCAUCGCCAGUCUUGGAUCAACUCUAUGUGCUACGAGCCCUCCCAAGACCAAUCACAUCCAAGGCUACCACUUGACCAUGGCAUUUAGAGGUGAGGACAACACGAGCUUUGGCACUUGAGAGGACAACAGCGGAAGACAGUUUUCAAAAGCCCAUUUCUUCUCCAUAAAUUUGACAGUGUUGUUUGAACUGAACCCAGCUCCAUGUAAGCUCUGGAUGAGCCCCAUGGAAGGUAGAUCUACGUAGGUGCCUGCAGGUUGGGUAAGAAGUAUGAGACCAUGCCCUCAGAGUUCUUUACCAUCCCCACCAAUUUAUAAAGGCUUGUUUACAUACGACUAUGACCAGUUUAACUAUUUUGAAAGAACUUUGCCCGUGGAUGCAUCUAAUCCAAAAUAAAAGCCAAGUUUCUGAAUUAAGUGGACUUACGGGUAGGGAAUGAUUAUUCUAAAUAACGUGAGAAAGUUAUUUGUCUAUAGAUCAUUCUGCCGGCUUGUUCUGAAGUGGACUGCCUGGCUGAUGCCUCACACUGCUACAUUAUAAGGCAGGGACGCAGUUGCAUAUUCAUCAACAACCAAGUUUGUUGUCAGCACAACCUUUUCUCAAAGGGGAUGUGCCAAUGCCAGGCAAGAGGCAGUGUCCUUGUCUAAGGUCUUGCACACCUCUCUGUCCUCACCUGGUAUUAUUUCUGAUUUUACCUAACAGCAUGAAAUCAUUCCUGAAAAUAUCCUUGCUUGUUUCUAACAGCAGAAAACUCAAGUGGCAGAGGCUUUGAUGUGUCCCACUUCACUCAUAGGAGAUGCCAUUAGCAGAGAGGCUUUGUCCUGGUGUCAUUGGAGGAGCACCCCAGAGAUGCCCAGGGAAAAGCUUAAUCAUUCCCAGAGCAUCCUCCCAAGGACAGUGUUGCUUACUCCCAAAUCCUUUCAGUUCCCACAAAUCAAUUUACAGGAUUUAUUCUGUUUCCGUGUUUCUCUUAUGGCAUAAGAGCGCACAUCGUUUCAUUUGGCCUGACACCAUCUGCUUCACUUCAAGGAGUGGGCUGAGACCAUGCUUUUAGUGAUAGUCCUUAUAGGUUUUCUUCUUUUCCUCUGAUCCAAACUUGUUUGUCUUUAUUGAAGGAAAGGAAAGGAAAAAGGAAAGGGAAGGGAAGGAAAGGGAAAAAUGGAAACAAAAAAAGGAAAAUGGAAAAGGAAAAAGAAAGACAAAGAGUAGGAAAAAAAAAAGAAAAGAGAAGAAAAGAGAGGAAAAAGGAAAGGGAAAGGGAAAAGGAAAAGAAAAAGGAAAGAAGAGGAGAGGAAAAAGGAAAAAGGGAAAAAAGGAAAAGAGGAAAGAAAAUGCAGGAGUGACCUGGGUUGUGCCAGAAUACAGCACCAUGGGAAUCACAGCAUCAGGCCCACAGAGGGUCUUGUUGCAGCUACCAGAAAGCUGUGGCAAUAACUUCAAAUCAGUACUCUGGGGUUUGUUUCUUUUUUGGGGGAGUUAAAAAUUCUGCUCAAGUUAUCUCCUAUUGCAAAAAUGACUCCAUGGGUACUACGUUAUCCUCUUUGGACCUCAAUCACUCCCAAAGAUUCAAGAUGAACUCUGCCUGCCCAGGCACCAGAGUCAGUGCCCCGAGGAAUUUCUUCAUAUCUCAGGGAUACGCAGGAUGUGUACUUGCAUGCCCUCGCUGCCUCUCAGCACCAGCUGUACAUGCAGUUUUGCUUUAGGAACCUGUACCUCCAGUAUUGCAAUAUCUCUUUCAGUCUCUGUCAUCAAGAGUUUAAAUACAGUUCAGAUCAGUGUUAGUGGCCCAGCUCCAACAGAGGAGAAUUGCUGCAAUUCGUUAUCUUGACAAAUUAACUGGUCUGAGGCAAUUCCUUUUUGAGAGAUACAAUUAGCUAACUCUUGAACUCUAGCCUUGCUCCAGCGCUAUGGCAAAGUCAUGCACCUGCUUCAAAAGUUUUGAUAAUACACCUAAGUACAACUAAGACAUUUCCACCUGCAAAUAUAUUCCUGCACCAGGAGCUGUAGUGUGCCAUGGUCAUGCCUUGCUGUCCUUACGCUGCUCUUGUACCUGCUGUGGGAUGGGCUGAUGGUGCAGCCUCUGCUGUAAAGGGCUCUGACCUCAGCUGACUGAAAAAAGCCUGUAUGAAUACCCAGGUGAUCUGGUUGAAUAGCACCUAGGGGAUGGUACUGGUUGCAAUCCCUCAGUCUGUAUAGACCUGGUGAAAACAGGAUUACUGUCAGGUGCUGGAGCUGAUGCUCCAGCUUCCCUUCCCUCCUGUCUAGGGGAACAAUUUUUUUUCUGCCAAGCAAAGGGAAAACAUCCACAGCUACGUCAUACUUCCAGCCUCAUGUGGGUAGAUGCCGUUCCCUUCCCAUUCUCCUUGGAAAGCAGCUCUUGCCCUCCACAGUAGCUCACCCUUGGGCAUCAUCUUCCUUUGCACAAGCGCUCCCAGCUACUAUGAGAUAUCCCUCAACCAUUCAUCCAAGCCAUUUUAGAAGCUCUGUGCGGGAUGAUAAAGCUGUCCUGCAGAAGGCUUGUGUCUGCCUGAAGCCUCUUUGUAUGGAUGUGGUGACUCGGAGGUUCCUAGAGCUCCGCUUUGAAUUCCAAGCCUUCAGCAUUCAAAACAUUUAACCCUCAAUUUCUUUUCCCCUUUAUCAGUUUGGCCAACUUCCAGCUGGCAGCGUUUGUUUGCAGGCUUCCAUCCUGCAUCUUGUGCUUGCAGAUGUCUCUCUGUCUCAAUUAACCCCCCGAAAUGGUUUUCCUCUCCCCUGACUGGUGCAUCCUCUCUUUGCUCUCUGCCUGCAGGGCAGGAGCUGGCAGUUAGCAGCUGGGUCCCUGAGCUGGAGGUGCCAGGCAGAGGGUGUGCCGAGCAUGCAGUGUCAGAACCAGCAGGAGAGGAACACGCUGCUCAGCAGCACUUGCUCAGCAUGCUCUGGGCUGGGCUUUGCAGUGCUGGAGGCCGUUGGGCCUUUGUGGCAUCUCUGGAGCACCAUGGAAGAAAGAUCAGGUCUUGCUGGAGUGCUUUUGCUGAGAUGCUCCAGAGCAUGCACCCAAACAGUGGGAACGUCUGUGCUCACUAGCACAGCCUUCCUCUGGAACUAGGUAGUAGCGUAAAAUAGGAUACAAAAAGGUCUGAAGUACCACUUACCAAACAAAGAAAAUGCCUAGUCACCUGGAGCAUCCUCCCUCCUGCGCCUGCUCUAAUUGCUCAACACAAGGAGCCCUGGGCGGCCGGGCUGAGCCCUGGCACUCCGGUUCCUCCUCAGCACUGUGGCUCCUUCUCAUACACUGGCAGCCGAGAGGAGAACUGCUCCCUGCUGCCAAGAUUAUAGGCAAACUUCACACAGUUUGGGCAACCUGAUAACAUCUGGAGACACGAGCUCUCCAUUGCUGGGACACCAGUCAAGCCUUUGGGUGGAGAGGGCCUGGAGUCAAAGCAAAUCCUUGGCUGUUCAGGUUUUCCGCUGGCGACCCAUCACAGCUCGGUGCUACCACGUCUGGAUCGUUCCCGUAAGACACACCUUUUUCUUUAAAUUAAGUAGUAUUGGCACUGCUAGCAUCAUUUCUGAGGAACCUGAUUACCUAGGCUCCAGGGAGAUAUAAAACGAGCUGUUCAGCUUAUAUAGUGGUUAGCUUAAUCUUGUGUAUAAUUCUAGCAGAGCAAAUGAGUAGUCAAGAUUGAAAUCUCUGCCGGAGCUGGUGAGGACUUGGCAUUUCCAUGCAAAGCAAGCUUGAAGCCAGGUUUCACUGCAAGCUACAGAAGGCUGCUAAGUGCCAUAGUCUGUCCACGCUACUCAAAAAAGGGUUGUUUGUGCUUCUUUACUAGUAUCACAUCACUUUUAUUUCCAUUAUUCUUCUUCCUGGCACACCCACCGAAGCCGUUCUGCUGCUGCUAAUAUGCCUGAUGUCCAAUCAGUGAAAUAAUGAUAUGCUGUGCUCGCGCUAAGAGUUGCUGCUACUUAGUAGUGAUUGAAGUGCCUUAUCUUCUUAACUAUCAAAUUGUUAAAUUACAACACAAAUGGGAGAUAUUUUGGUUGAAUGUGCCUUUUCCAGCUCUCGGCAGCAACAGCUGUUCUCAAUAAGUUCUGAAAGUACUGUAAAAACAGUAUUUCAACAAGUAAUGUUUGUCAAAUGAAGGAAGGCAUGGCAGCUCUGGGAAUUAACAAAAUAAUGUAAUCUGAAAUAAGAAGCCCUAGAAAACCAGAGCAGAAGAAGCAGAGUUUGUAUUCCCAGCGCUCCUCAACAAAGCUGGCUGCUCCGAAGUGGUUUCCCUGCAGGAAACUAAAUGACUUUAAUGGGCUCUGUUUAAUUUAGAAAGACGAUGUUGGGAAAACAGUUGUUCCCAGAAGAGAGAGAGCUGCCCAUGCUCCCGUCAGUAGUGACAUUCCCUCCGAUUUGGUAUGUGGAGAGGUAACCUAUUGGCUGUAGAAAGGUACUGGCUCCACAUAGAUUGGGUGACACCUCCUGCUGCACUUAUUUCUCUUAAAAAGUCUAACUCAGCAUGAGAGAUCAACUUCAGCAUGUCAAAAUGAUAAUAACAGAGAAUAGCUCACAUAGUACCUGGAGAUGGGUAUAUAUUAACGUGGAAGUAGCUGCUGAAGUAAAAAGGGAAUUUUGUUGAACUGCCUCAAUAAAAAGGUGUGAUUGCUGA